GACGGAGGAUGCAAGUGUUAUCCGGAAUCACUGGGCGUAAAGCGUCUGUAGGUGGUUCGAAAAGUCCACUGUUAAAAAUUGAAGCUUAACUUCAAAGAUGCCGUGGAAACUUUCAAACUAGAGUGUGGUAGGGGUAGAGGGAAUUUCCAGUGGAGCGGUGAAAUGCGUAGAUAUUGGAAAGACCACCGAUGGCGAAGGCACUCUACUGGGCCAUUACUGACACUGAGAGACGAAAGCUAGGGGAGCAAACGGG
rnacentral:rRNA from 1 species